rnacentral:rRNA from 1 species
UAUGGAGAGUUUGAUCCUGGCUCAGGAUGAACGCUGGCGGCGUGCCUAUUACAUGCAAGUCGAGCGAACUGAAGAGGAGCUUGCUCCUUUGACGUUAGCGGCGGACGGGUGAGUAACACGUGGGUAACCUACCUAUAAGACUGGAAUAACUCCGGGAAACCGGGGCUAAUGCCGG